GACGAACGCUGGCGGCGUGCUUAACACAUGCAAGUCGAACGGUGAAGCGCCUUCCUUUUUGGUGGGUGUGGAUGAGUGGCGAACGGGUGAGUAACACGUGAGUAACCUGCCCCCUUCUUCUGGAUAACCGCAUGAAAGUGUGGCUAAUACGGGAUAUUCUGGGUCUGUCGCAUGAUGGGUCUGGGAAAGAUAUUGUUUCGGUGGGGGAUGGGCUCGCGGCCUAUCAGCUUGUUGGUGGGGUGAUGGCCUGCCAAGGCGGUGACGGGUAGCCGGCCUGAGAGGGUGGACGGUCACACUGGGACUGAGACACGGCCCAGACUCCUACGGGAGGCAGCAGUGGGGAAUAUUGCACAAUGGGCGCAAGCCUGAUGCAGCGACGCCGCGUGAGGGAUGGAGGCCUUCGGGUUGUGAACCUCUUUCGCCAGUGAAGCAGGCCUGCCUCGUUUGUGGGUGGGUUGACGGUAGCUGGAUAAGAAGCGCCGGCUAACUACGUGC
rnacentral:rRNA from 1 species